rnacentral:rRNA from 1 species
UUUAAAUUGAGAGUUUGAUCCUGGCUCAGGACGAACGCUGGCGGCGUGCCUAACACAUGCAAGUCGAGCGAUGAAACUUCCUUCGGGAAGUGGAUUAGCGGCGGACGGGGGAGUAACACGUGGGUAACCUGCCUCAAAGAGUGGGAUAGCCUCCCGAAAGGGAGAUUAAUACCGCAUAACAUUAUUUUAUGGCAUCAUAAAAUAAUCAAAGGAGCAAUCCGCUUUGAGAUGGACCCGCGGCGCAUUAGCUAGUUGGUGAGGUAACGGCUCACCAAGGCAACGAUGCGUAGCCGACCUGAGAGGGUGAUCGGCCACAUUGGAACUGAGACACGGUCCAGACUCCUACGGGAGGCAGCAGUGGGGAAUAUUGCGCAAUGGGGGAAACCCUGACGCAGCAACGCCGCGUGAGUGAUGAAGGUUUUCGGAUCGUAAAACUCUGUCUUUAGGGACGAUAAUGACGGUACCUAAGGAGGAAGCCACGGCUAACUACGUGCCAGCAGCCGCGGUAAUACGUAGGUGGCAAGCGUUGUCCGGAUUUACUGGGCG